rnacentral:rRNA from 1 species
GCAAGCGUUAUCCGGAUUUAUUGGGCGUAAAGCGUCCGCAGGUGGUUUUUCAAGUCUGCUGUUAAAGCGCAGAGCUUAACUCUGUAACGGCGGUGGAAACUGAGAGACUAGAGUAUGGUAGGGGUUGCGGGAAUUCCCAGUGUAGCGGUGAAAUGCGUAGAUAUUGGGAAGAACACCAGCGGCGAAAGCGCGCAACUGGGCCAUUACUGACACUCAUGGACGAAAGCUAGGGGAGCGAAAGGGAUUAGAUACCCCUGUAGUCCUAGCUGUAAACGAUGGGUACUAGGUGUUGACCGUAUCGACCCGGUCAGUGCCGUAGCUAACGCGUUAAGUACCCCGCCUGGGG